rnacentral:rRNA from 2 species
AGAUUGACGGCAAGGGUAACGACCAUGAUUAGACUACUCGGUAGUUCAGGCCGUAAACGAUUAGUGUGUGGUGUUGGAUGUUUUCCGUCUUUCAGAUCCGUAGCUAACUCAUUAAUCACUCCGCCUGCGGAGUACGACCGCAAGUUUGAAAUUCAACGGAAUUGACGGGGGCCCGCACAAGCGGUGGAGCAUGUGGUUUCAUUCGAAGCUACGCGAAGAACCUUACCAGGUCUUGACAUCUUGCGCUAACCUUAGAGAUAAGGCGUUCCCUUAGGGGACGCCAUGCCAGGUGGUGCAUGGUCGUCGUCAGCUCGUGUCGUGAGAUGUUGAGAUAAGUACCGCACCGCGCACAACCCUUGUUACUAGUUGCCAUCAUUCAGUUGGGCACUCUAGUGAUACUGCCGUUGCAAAACCUGAGUAA